UACGUAGGGGCGAGCGUUGUCCGGAAUUACUGGGCGUAAAGGGCGCGUAGGCGGCCUGUUAAGUUAGAUGUGAAAUCCCCGGGCUCAACUUGGGUGUUGCAUUUAAAACUGGCAGGCUUGAGUGCAGGAGAGGAAAGUGGAAUUCCUAGUGUAGCGGUGAAAUGCGUAGAUAUUAGGAGGAACACCAGUGGCGAAGGCGACUUUCUGGACUGUAACUGACGCUGAGGAGCGAGAGCGUGGGGAGCAAACAGGAUUAGAUACCCCGUAGUCCCUGAG
rnacentral:rRNA from 1 species